rnacentral:rRNA from 1 species
CGCGUGCACUGGUCCGGCCGGGCCUUUCCCUCUGCGGAACCCCAUGCCCUUCACUGGGCGUGGCGGGGAAACAGGACUUUUACUUUGAAAAAAUUAGAGUGCUCAAGGCAGGCCUAUGCUCGAAUACAUUAGCAUGGAAUAAUGAAAUAGGACGUUGCGGUUCUAUUUUGUUGGUUUCUAGGACCGCCGUAAUGAUUAAUAGGGACAGUCGGGGGCAUCAGUAUUCAAUUGUCAGAGGUGAAAUUCUUGGAUUUAUUGAAGACUAACUACUGCGAAAGCAUUUGCCAAGUAUGUUUUCAUUAAUCAGGAACGAAAGUUAGGGGAUCGAAGACGAUCAGAUACCGUCGUAGUCUUAACCAUAAACUAUGCCGACUAGGGAUCGGACGAUGUUAUAUUUUUUGACGCGUUCGGCACCUUACGAGAAAUCAAAGUGCUUGGGCUCCAGGGGGAGUAUGGUCGCAAGGCUGAAACUUAAAGAAAUUGACGGAAGGGCACCACCAGGGGUGGAGCCUGCGGCUUAAUUUGACUCAACACGGGGAAACUCACCAGGUCCAGACACAAUGAGGAUUGACAGAUUGAGAGCUCUUUCUUGAUUUUGUGGGUGGUGGUGCAUGGCCGUUCUUAGUUGGUGGAGUGAUUUGUCUGCUUAAUUGCGAUAACGAACGAGACCUUAACCUGCUAAAUAGCCCGUGCUGCUUUGGCAGCACGCCGGCUUCUUAGAGGGACUAUCGG